UCCAAUAUGUAGCUUUUAUCUGCAUUUGCACCUGCACUUUCCCUGGCUGCGUCUGUAACAUAUAAACAUGUGAAUUAAUUUGUUUUAUAUAUAAAAUAAAAUAAAUUUAUAAUAUUUAGUAUGAGGAAGGACCAAGGGCUAGGUGCAGAUGCAUAUGCAGAUGAAUGCCAUGUUGGU
rfam:Medicago truncatula strain A17 chromosome 2, whole genome shotgun sequence.